GGAGUAGUAAGUAAUCAUUUUAUUACAAGGAAUCUUCAACAUGGUGCAAAUAAAUCUGAUCAGGAGUGAAUCUUCGUAGAACGACUAAGAUGAUGCAGUUAGGAGUAGAUCCUCAUAAGAUCGAAUCGUCUAUGUAAUCUUUCUCAUGAUUGUAAUGUCAGGAUAAAUAAGCUUUAUAAAAAAAAAUCAUUUUCUAUUUAUAAGGCACUAUAACAUUUACUUAUUAUCCAAUUAAAAUAAAAUAAACUCAUAGCAUGAUCCAUUGGUUCACUUAUAUCAAUCAAUGUGUCUAUAUAUAACUCUUUUUUUUAACGCUGAUUUAUUAGGAUAUUACAAUUAUGAUAUGAGAAAGAUUACAUAGACGAUUGGACAACCGACAAUACUACCUGUCUUAUGAGGACUUACGCCUAACUGCAUCACCUGAGCCGUCCUAUGAAGAUAAACGUCUAACCAGAUUUACUUGCACCAUGUUGAAGAUACUUUGUAAGUCUUUCUUCCGUAGUCUGCAUAAUUAUUUAAUAAAUCGUUUUCUCUGAGACUUGAAACCUGGAUUUCCUGUAAUCUACAAGAAAUUACAUAGUAUGGGAUUCAAACCACAGACCUGGAUGUAGAAGCCUUUAAACAUUAAGCAAUAGACUGCGGUGCUUCGACCUGUCUAUAUAUAACUCUAUACAAUACAUUAGUCUGCUUCGUCUUCCAAAAACAUUGCCCUUUGUCCAAGUAUCUUUCUCUCUCACAUCAAAUAUCUCCUUCUUGCACCCAAAGCAAAUCUUCAUCAUCAUCAUCUUCGAAAAUCCAUGUGAAUCUCCCAGAUAAUAGCAAACCAGGAGAAAAGCAAAAGUAACAUUAGUUAAUUUAAAAAAAAAACUGAAUAUCAU
rnacentral:lncRNA from 1 species